UACGUAGGGUGCAAGCGUUAAUCGGAAUUACUGGGCGUAAAGCGUGCGCAGGCGGUUUUGUAAGACAGGCGUGAAAUCCCCGGGCUCAACCUGGGAAUUGCGCUUGUGACUGCAAAGCUAGAGUACGGCAGAGGGGGAUGGAAUUCCGCGUGUAGCAGUGAAAUGCGUAGAUAUGCGGAGGAACACCAAUGGCGAAGGCAAUCCCCUGGGCCUGUACUGACGCUCAUGCACGAAAGCGUGGGGAGCAAACAGG
rnacentral:rRNA from 1 species